UACGUAGGGGGCUAGCGUUGUCCGGAAUCAUUGGGCGUAAAGCGCGCGUAGGCGGCCAGAUAAGUCCGGUGUGAAAGUCACAGGCUCAACCUGUGAAUGCCGCUGGAAACUGUCUGGCUAGAGUCCGGAAGGGGCGAGUGGAAUUCCUGGGUGUAGCGGUGAAAUGCGCAGAUAUCAGGAGGAACACCAAUGGCGAAGGCAGCUCGCUGGAACGGUACUGACGCUGAGGCGCGAAAGCGUGGGGAGCGAACAGG
rnacentral:rRNA from 1 species